rnacentral:rRNA from 1 species
UCAAGAACCUUCCACAAUGGACGAAAGUCUGAUGGAGCGACGCCGCGUGAUUGAUGAAGUCCUUAGGGACGUAAAGAUCUUUUAUGAGGGAAGAAGUUUAUUGACUGUACCUCAUGAAUAAGGGGCUCCUAAUCUCGUGCCAGCAGGAGCGGUAAUACGAGAGCCCCAAGCGUUAUCCGGAAUUAUUGGGCGUAAAGGGUGCGUAGGUUGCGUUAUUAGUCUUUUGUCAAAUACCCAAGCUUAACUUGGG